rnacentral:rRNA from 1 species
GGGUGGUAAAUUUCAUCUAAAGCUAAAUAUUGGCCGGAGACCGAUAGCGCACAAGUAGAGUGAUCGAAAGGUUAAAAGCACCUUGAAAAGGGAGUUAAACAGCACGUGAAAUUGUUGAAAGGGAAGCGCUUGCGGCCAGACUCAGGCGCAGGGUUCAGCGGGUGCGUGUCACCCGUGCACUCCCUGCCGCCUGGGCCAGCAUCAGUUCUGACGGUCGGUCAAAGGCCUCCGGAAUGUGUCGUCUCUCGGGACGUCUUAUAGCCGGGGGUGCAAUGCGGCCCGUCGGGACUGAGGAACGCGCUUCGGCUCGGAUGCUGGCAUAAUGGCCGUAAGCGGCCCGUCUUGAAAACACGGAC